GGGGAGAGGAGGCAGCCUCACAGGAAGUUCAGAGAUACAGGAAACCUGGAGGCCAGAAAGACCCCGUGGUCAGACCUUCUGCCCAGACACUGGGCUGUCACAUGGAGACUGAAGCCCAGGGAAAAGCUAUGACUAAAGGUGGAAACAGGCCCCAGACACAGCGGAUAGCCAAGGUCCAGGUGUGCCAGCUUCUGGAAGGAUCGGAGAUUGGAGGCCAGCUACACUGUGAGACUUCUUUGCUACAACCCCAUAGGCGUAUCACCAGUGAACGGGCGGUAAAUCACGCAUGUUGUAUAAGUACAAGGGGAUAUUAUUCAACCUUCGAAAGAAUGACCUCUGGCCUACCUUAUCACAGGGAUGGGUGCUUUCUUUUCAUGAAAAUGUUUUUAAAAUUUCAAAUGUUUAGUUAUUA